rnacentral:rRNA from 1 species
UACAGAGGGUGCAAGCGUUAAUCGGAAUUACUGGGCGUAAAGCGCGCGUAGGCGGCUUUGUAAGUUAGAGGUGAAAGCCCGGAGCUCAACUCCGGAACUGCCUUUAAAACUGCAUCGCUUGAAUCCAGGAGAGGUGAGUGGAAUUCCGAGUGUAGAGGUGAAAUUCGUAGAUAUUCGGAAGAACACCAGUGGCGAAGGCGGCUCACUGGACUGGUAUUGACGCUGAGGUGCGAAAGCGUGGGGAGCAAACAGG